UGUGAACUGGCUGGGCAAGAACACCUACUACGUUUCUGGAAUGAGCUGGAAGAAGCCCAACGAGUAGAGCUUUACACAGAGCUCCAAGCCAUGAACUUUGAGGAGCUGAACUUCUUUUUCCAAAAGGCCAUUGAAGGAUUUAACCAAUCUCACCAAGAGAAAGUGGAUGCACGAAUGGGACCUGUCCCUCGAGAGGUACUGGGGAGUGCUACCCGGGAUCAAGAUCAGCUCGAGGCCUGGGAAAGCGAAGGAUUUUUCCAGAUUUCUCAGAACAAAGUAACAGUUCUUCUUCUAGUUGGAGGGCAGGGGACAAGACUUGGAGUUGCAUAUCCCAAAGGGAUGUAUGAUGUUGGUUUGCCGUCCCAUAAGACACUUUUUCAGAUCCAAGCAGAACGUAUCCUGAAGCUACAACAGUUAGCUGAAAAAUAUUCUGGCAACAAAUGUAUUAUUCCAUGGUACAUAAUGACCAGUGGCAGAACAAUGGAAUCUACAAAGGAGUUCUUCACCAAGCACAAGUACUUUGGUUUAAAACAAGAGAAUGUAAUCUUUUUUCAGCAAGGAAUGCUGCCUGCCAUGAGUUUUGAUGGGAAAAUUAUUUUGGAAGAAAAGAGCAAAAUUGCUAUGGCUCCAGAUGGCAAUGGUGGUCUUUAUCGAGCUCUUGCAGCCCAGAAUAUUGUGGAGGAUAUGGAGCAAAGAGGCAUCUGGAGCAUUCACGUCUAUUGUGUUGACAAUAUAUUAGUAAAAGUGGCAGACCCAAGGUUCAUUAGAUUUUGCAUUCAGAAAGGAGCAGACUGUGGAGCAAAGGUGGUUGAGAAAACAAACCCUACCGAACCAGUUGGAGUAGUUUGCCGAGUGGAUGGAGUUUACCAGGUGGUAGAAUAUAGUGAGAUUUCCCUGGCAACAGCUCAAAAACGAAGCUCAGAUGGACGACUGCUGUUCAACGCAGGGAACAUUGCCAACCAUUUCUUCACCGUACCAUUUCUGAGAGAUGUUGUCAAUAUUUAUGAACCUCAAUUGCAACACCAUGUGGCUCAAAAGAAGUUUCCCUAUGUGGAUUCCCAAGGGCAGUUAAUUAAGCCAGACAAACCAAAUGGAAUAAAGAUGGAAAAAUUUGUCUUUGACAUCUUCCAGUUCGCAAAGUGA